GUGGGGAAUCUUCCGCAAUGGACGAAAGUCUGACGGAGCAACGCCGCGUGAGUGAUGAAGGUCUUCGGAUUGUAAAGCUCUGUUAGUCGGGACGAAAGAGCCUAGUGUGAAUAAUGCUAGGAAGUGACGGUACCGGAAUAGAAAGCCACGGCUAACUACGUGCCAGCAGCCGCGGUAAUACGUAGGUGGCAAGCGUUGUCCGGAAUUAUUGGGCGUAAAGCGCGCGCAGGCGGAUCUGCCAGUCUGUCUUAAAAGUUCGGGGCUUAACCCCGUGAUGGGAUGGAAACUACAGAUCUAGAGUAUCGGAGAGGAAAGUGGAAGUCCUAGUGUAGCGGUGAAAUGCGUAGAUAUUAGGAAGAACACCAGUGGCGAAGGCGACUUUCUGGACGAAAACUGACGCUGAGGCGCGAAAGCCAGGGGAGCGAACGGGAUUAGAAACCCCUGUAGUCC
rnacentral:rRNA from 1 species